AAUCACAUCUCCGUCCUCCUCUAACCAUUUUAUCCAGGCUGAGGAGUUGGAAGUGUGUAGAGGAGGAUUCAGAACAUCAGAUCUUCCCUUGGUUGUGGAAUUAAAUGCUAAAUAAUGCAUGGCUGGAAGCAUCCCUCUCUCUGAGUUGCAUCUCUUCU